CCUACAAUUCCUAGUACUUGAAAAGUUUUAUGUCCUUCUCUAUAUUUAGUCAUAUGUUUACAGAAACAUAUUUAGAUUUUUCAUUUAUUGAAACCUUACAUAAUUAUAUUUUUAUAAUCAUCUGCAUGUUCAUGACAUUAAUUAAGAUUGUAUUUUAUAUAAUCUAUAUAUCACUUGUGAAAGUUAGAUAUUUAUUGAGUUUAAAUCUCUUUAAUGAAAAUUUACCAGUUUAUAACUAGUGAGAGUAAGUGAUAGAAAAUGAAAAAUGACAUAAAAUUAAUUUCAAUUCGCGUUCCAAAAAGAUUAAACCAGAAUUUUUUAACUUUGUGGUAAAUAGCACUGCUAAAAAGGGCAUUUUACUUGUGGUACUUUCCCAGUAAUCUGAUCCAACGGUUGUCGAUCCACUUAAUCAAAUACUUUACCAUUUAGUUCCACCUUCAUUUCGAAUUCCUCUCUCUUCCGGACACCAUCGCUCUCUUCGGCGUGAUCUGAACAUACUCUUUUAUCUCCGUCACUUCAAUUCCUCCGAAUGGAUUGGCAAGGGCAAAAGCUAGCGGAGCAGCUAAUGCAGAUCAUGCUGUUAAUAUUUGCGGUGGUGGCUUUCAUGGCAGGCUACGCAACGGGUUCGUUUCAAAUGAUGAUUCAGAUUUACGCUGCUGGUGUUGUUCUCACUACUUUAAUUACUGUCCCUAAUUGGCCUUGGUUUAAUCGUAACCCUCUUAAAUGGCUUGAUCCUACCGAAGCCGAUAAGCAUCCUAAGCCUCAGGUUCAAUCUGUUACUUCCAAGAAGAAAUCAUCUAAAAAAUAGAAACGAUUCUUGAAAAUCUUAAGUCUUUUAGCAAUCCCUAGGGUUUGUUUUUGAUCGAACAGUGAACGAAUUGGAUGU